UACAGAGGUCCCAAGCGUUGUUCGGAUUUACUGGGCGUAAAGGGUGCGUAGGUGGUCGGGUAAGUCUCAUGUGAAAUCCCGCAGCUUAACUGCGGAACGGCAUGGGAUACUAUUCGGCUCGAGGAUUGGAGGGGGACUGGAAUUCCCGGUGUAGCAGUGAAAUGCGUAGAUAUCGGGAGGAACACCAGUGGCGAAGGCGGUUGCCUGGAGCUUUGCUGACGCUGAUGCGCGAAAGCGUGGGGAGCGAUCCGG
rnacentral:rRNA from 1 species